rnacentral:lncRNA from 1 species
GGAAAUCUAACUUGGAACUACAAUUCCAAAGUCAAGGGGAAAAUGCUUAUCUUUGCUUUCUUACAGUAUUAAAACUCUUAUGUCUUCAUGAUUUGCAGGGAUUAAGGAAAACAGCACAGCGCUGGCUUUAACAAUACUUGACUGGCUGAACACGAAGAAUACCCGGUUCAACCAGACCAGGGGGGAGUAGCUGAUGAGGACUGAAAUAUGCACCAGCGCUGUGCACUAUAUAAUGGGAACAUUUCUAUUUAUGCUUAUGAUUAGUAUUAUUAUUAUUAAGCUAACCAGUGCAGGUUUAAUUGAAGAUUUGGGAUAAUAAAAGAAAUAAUAGAGCUUCGGGCAUAGUCAAGCAAGCAUAGGCGAUUCAGACCAAGGUCAAUGUAUUAAGGGGGCUUAAGCCCAAUUAUCUUAGUAAAUGGGCUUGAGGCCCUAGGGCUUAUUUACAUGCUUAUAAAUAAAGACUUAGUAGUAGGUUAGAGGAUCUCAUUUUUUAUUCAUUCAUCUCUUGUAAAAUGUAAUUCUCUCGAUUAUAGUGAAAAAACCCCAAAACA